rnacentral:rRNA from 1 species
UCUGGCUCAGGAUGAACGCUGGCGGCGUGCUUAACACAUGCAAGUCGAACGGAGGUGUACGCUGAAGAAGCUUCGGCAGAUUCUUGUGCACCUUAGUGGCGGACGAGUGAGUAACGCGUGGGUAACCUGCCCUGUACAGGGGGAUAACACUUAGAAAUAGGUGCUAAGACCGCAUAAGCGCACAGUACCGCAUGGUACAGUGUGAAAAGCUCCGGUGGUACAGGAUGGACCCGCGUCUGAUUAGCUGGUUGGAGGGGUAACGGCCCACCAAGGCGACGAUCAGUAGCCGGCCUGAGAGGGUGAACGGCCACAUUGGGACUGAGACACGGCCCAAACUCCUACGGGAGGCAGCAGUGGGGAAUAUUGCACAAUGGGGGAAACCCUGAUGCAGCGACGCCGCGUGAGUGAAGAAGUAUUUCGGUAUGUAAAGCUCUAUCAGCAGGGAAGAUGAUGACGGUACCUGAGUAAGAAGCCCCGGCUAACUACGUGCCAGCAGCCGCGGUAAUACGUAGGGGGCAAGCGUUAUCCGGAUUUACUGGGUGUAAAGGGAGCGUAGACGGCAUGGCAAGUCUGAAGUGAAAGCCCGGGGCUCAACCGCGGGACUGCUUUGGAAACUGUUAAGCUGGAGUGCAGGAGAGGUAAGUGGAAUUCCUAGUGUAGCGGUGAAAUGCGUAGAUAUUAGGAGGAACACCAGUGGCGAAGGCGGCUUACUGGACUGUAACUGACGUUGAGGCUCGAAAGCGUGGGGAGCAAACAGGAUUAGAUACCCUGGUAGUCCACGCCGUAAGCGAUGAAUACUAGGUGUCGGGGGUUUAUGAACCUUCGGUGCCGCAGCAAACGCAAUAAGUAUUCCACCUGGGGAGUACGUUCGCAAGAAUGCAACUCAAAUGAAUUGACGGA